AAGGAUUUAAGUUAAGAAAAACUAACAACCUUCAAAGUUGUCAAUGGAGGCUGUCUCUAAGCCUUA
rnacentral:tRNA from 1 species